GUAUUACUCCCUCCGUCCCUAUUUAUCUGUCCACUUUGGAAGUGAAAAUUUGUCCCUAUUUAUCUGUCCAUUUAUACUUUCAAAACUAAUUUAAUGAUAGUUUUUCAAAUAUAUCUACAUAAUUUCAAUUUUCAAGGCUUGACUUAUUUAAAACUUGGUUGAAUUCAUGUUUUCAAGACAUAAAGUAGGGGUAUUCCACCAUUUUCAAGAUAUUAAUUAGAGGUAUUUAAUGAAAAAGUUUAUACAAUCAAGUAUUUCUUGGUAUGUGUUUUUUUUUCCAAAAUGGACAGAUAAAAAGGGACGGAGGGAGUA
rnacentral:lncRNA from 1 species